AGGAAAAGAAACUAACAAGGAUUCCCCUAGUAGCGGCGAGCGAAGAGGGAAGAGCCCAGCACCGAACCUCGCGCCCUCGGGUGUCGCGGAAUGUGGUGUUCAGGAGGACCGUGCGCGUCUGUCCGGUAUCGUCCAAGUCUCCAUGAAUGGGGCCAGCAACCCAGAGAGGGUGUCAGGCCCGUGGGACGAGCCGCGACCGUGUAUUGGGUCUCUCCUUAGAGUCGGGUUGCUUGAGAGUGCAGCCCUAAGCGGGAGGUAAACUCCUUCUAAGGCUAAAUACGGCCACGAGACCGAUAGCAAACAAGUACCGCGAGGGAAAGUUGAAAAGAACUUUGAAGAGAGAGUUCAAGAGUGCGUGAAACCGUUCAGGGGGUUAAACGGGUGGGCCCUCGAAGGUCGAACGGUCCCCACUCCCGUCACCUGUAGUGCCGGCCCGUGCUGCUUUUCGAUUCCGCUACGGAACGAGGCUUGGUGCGGUUCGCCGGUCUACGGGGGCCGCUAGCUGGGGACCCAGUAGGACUCCGCAACCGGCUGGGAGGCCGUCAGAAGGGUUCUGUGAGGAAGCCCCCUCGUUGGGGUGGAUUCCGGGAUUCCGGGCGGUCCUCUCGGCCGUGAACCAAAAUUUCUCUCCUCACGGGGAGAAUGAGCGGAGAGUAGAGUCGGGUCCCACCCGACCCGUCUUGAAACACGGACCAAGGAGUCUAACAUGUGCGCGAGUCGUCGGGUACUACUAAACCCGAAGGCGUAAUGAAAGUGAAAGCCGCCCUUGUUGGCGGCCGAGGGGAGAUCCCGUUCUGCUCCGGUAGCUCGGGCGCAUCCCCGGGGCGUCGAAGCCGCGUUGCCGGCUAGACGAACCAAGAGCGUACACGUUGGGACCCGAAAGAUGGUGACCUAUGCCUGGCCAGGACGAAGCCAGGGGAAACCCUGGUGGAGGUCCGCAGCGAUUCUGACGUGCAAAUCGAUCGUCUGAGUUGGGUAUAGGGGCGAAAGACUAAUCGAACCAUCUAGUAGCUGG
rnacentral:rRNA from 1 species